CUGCAUAACAGUGCCCGAGAGAGACUUUGUUCACCUCCCUGAUGGAUCGUUUCACCUGGCAAAAGGUGUCGUUAUUACUGCAAGCCAGGCGGCAAAGGUACUCAAUAACAAGAAGGCUACAUUAG
rnacentral:lncRNA from 1 species